rnacentral:misc_RNA from 1 species
UCUCCGUUGGUGAACCAGCGGAGGGAUCAUUAUAGAGUUUUAUAACUCCCAACCCUUUGUGAACCAAACUUGUUGCUUCGGGGGCGACCCUGCCGCUUCGGCGGUGCGGCGCCCCCGGAGGCCAUUAAACACUGCAUCAUUGCGUCGGAGUUUAAACAAAUUAAACAAAACUUUCAACAACGGAUCUCUUGGUUCUGGCAUCGAUGAAGAACGCAGC